AAAAUGGCAAGAUCAAAACAAGUGAAAACAAAAUACUUCAGAAUCCAGUUCAGUGGGUUAAAGACCUAUUAGGAAAUGAUAUUUCUGUGACAUGGAAGUAUGUGUGGAACAAGGUUACGUAUCGUGGGAAGGAGUUGUCAAAACUUCUUGUUGAAGAAGUGCCUGUUUCUAAUGACCUGGAAUUACCAUCACAACAAAGAGAGUCCUUGGGAAAGAAUUUUAUCACAAGGGACCCCAGCAACCACACCCAGCACUACCCGAGUCCCUGCGCUGACUCUGUUCUACCUGUUGGGAGCUUUGACCUGAGCAACAUGCAUCCAAGAACUCAGACAGAAACUGCGAAAACAUUGCUAUGCACUGAAAGAGAAGCAGCUGAAAGUCUCCCAAUUACCAGAGAAUUAAGGAGACCAACUUUUCACAAAGUUGGAACAAAUCUUCUAAGGAAAACAGUUCAGUGUUUAAAUCACCACACAAUAACAGCUAGGGAGAAGCCUCUAGAAGUUGUUCUGAGACUCCACAUAAAAUCUACGGAAUGAAUCACAGCUCUUGUAGAUUUUGCCAGUGCACAAAAAGCAUGAACUAUUGGUUUUUCUAUCAAAUAAUUGUUCUGACCUGAACUGUAAAUUGAUUUAUACAUUGUCUUCUGUUUCUUACAAUCUACAUUUCAGUGUGCUGUAAAUUGUGAGAAUUUUAAAGUGUUACUUUCUAAUUACUCAGGGUUGUUUCUGGAGCUGGUUCUUACUAACUUGGCACAUUAAACUCAGAUUUUCUAAAAUGCUUAGAUAUAAUUUUAGAGAACUCUGUAUUUGCCUUCCAAAUGAGUACACAAGUGAAUUAUUGUCUAAGCAAGUGUAAAAUAAUAACUCAAAAUAGUAAGUCUAAAAAGAGAGAAACCUGUGGUGGGAACCUGCAGCCUGCUAGUCAGACCGAGAAAUAGUCUCCUAUUAAUCCUUUUAGAGCAAUCUUACUGCCUUUUAAUAAAUGAUAUCGGUAAAUGCA
rnacentral:lncRNA from 1 species